CAGUCGCCACGGGAAUACGGAGGGGGCUAGCGUUGUUCGGAAUUACUGGGCGUAAAGCGCACGUAGGCGGCUUGGUAAGUCAGAGGUGAAAUCCUGGAGCUCAACUCCAGAACUGCCUUUGAUACUGGAGAUCUCGAGUUCGGGAGAGGUGAGUGGAACUGCGAGUGUAGAGGUGAAAUUCGUAGAUAUUCGCAAGAACACCAGUGGCGAAGGCGGCUCACUGGCCCGAUACUGACGCUGAGGCACGAAAGCGUGGGGAGCAAACAGGAUUAGAUACCCGCGUAGUCCCUGUCUCUUAUAC
rnacentral:rRNA from 1 species